ACCGGCGGAGGGCACCGAGCGCCCGGGGAGUCCGUGCUCCUCUCCUGCCGCGGGUCCGGCUUCACCUUCGAGAAUCAUUAUGUUCGCUGGUACCGUCAGGCACCCGGAGUGGGGGUCGAGUGGCCUUUCCCGAGUGCAGACAAAGGCCUCAGGCCCCACAGGAGGGAAGAUGUCAGAGUCUGUCUGGCUUACCUGUCACAUCUCUGGUGUCCCCAUCACCGACAGCAGCUACGCGUGGGACUGGAUCCGGCAGACUCCUGGCAAAGAGCUGCAGCACAUAGUGCUGCAAUAUCCUUUCACUGGGCUCCAGCACGUGGCUUCAUCCUUCCAGACCCGAGUCACCAGCUCUGCAGACCCCUCCAGGAACCAGCUGUUGCUGGAAGUGCUCUCACCAACAGCUGCAGACACGGCCACCUAUUUCUGCAGCACUCGAGAACUUGAAAAGGGCACAGUGCUUGAAACACAGGCAGGGCCAGGGCAGAACUGGAAGGAGGGGCUUUAAUCCAGUGGGGUCUUUUGGGGUUGUUGCAAGGCAAGACUCUUCCCAGACUUCUCAAGACUAGUCUAGUCUGUCUUUUCCCAGAAACAGAUGCAAUAGUAGCAAUAACAGCAGCAGUCUCCCACAAGCACACCCCAAACCAUGAACAUGUUGUUAACUUAUCACUUCCUUCUCAGUAUCUCCCACAGGCAGAAAGAGCCAGGGAAACAGGGUAUUUGGGGAUUUUUGUUUGUUUGUUUGUUUGUUUGUUUGUUUGUUUGUUUUUAUUAAAUAAUGUGCUGGUUCU